rnacentral:rRNA from 1 species
AGAAUCAACGCUGGCGGCGUGCCUCAGACAUGCAAGUCGAACGAUUAAACUCCCCUUCGGGGGAGAUAUAAAGUGGCGCACGGGUGAGUAACACGUAGGUAAUUUGCCUUCGGUGGGGAAUAACAGCCGGAAACGGCUGCUAAUACCGCAUAAUGCAGCGGCACCACAUGGUGACAGUUGUUAAAGCGGGGGAUCGCAAGACCUCGCGCCUGAAGAGAAGCCUGCGGCAGAUUAGCUAGUUGGUAGGGUAAUGGCCUACCAAGGCUACGAUCU